AAUCGACGCGCUCCACGGUUCGCGCCACGCGCCCCUCCGUACCACGAAAAAUCGCCGCGCCUCCCCUCCAUCGUCACGCCUCCCCCACAUCGCCGCGCCGGCACCCACCAUCGUCACCGCCGCCCAUUGCUCUCCACCGCGCCCCCAUUGCGCCGACGCCCUCCCUCUCUUUCAGGAUCCCCCCGCCUCUCCUCCUCCCCGCCGCCGACGCUGUCCCCCUGCCUUUCCUCCUUCCGCCCACCUGCCACCGACGCCGCCACCCCUGGCAGUGACUCCUCCUCCCCGACGCCAAUGCCGAUUCCCCCGCCGUCGAUGCCUACUCCUGUGGCAGUGCGGAGGACUGCUGCUUCCCUGACCCCAUCAGGUGUGUGCACGAUUUGUGUUUGUUAA
rnacentral:lncRNA from 1 species